rnacentral:rRNA from 1 species
GGGAACUGGGGGGGAGUAGCGGGGGAGAGACGUAGGGGGUGAGAGGUGGGUGGGUGUAGGGGGCGGAAAGCGGACGGAGGCGGGCUGUGAAGUCAGGGUGGAAAUCCAGGGGUGUAACCCCGGAACUGCCUUGGAGAGUGGAAGGGUGGAGUAGGGUAGAGGUGAGUGGAAUUCCGAGUGUAGAGGUGAAAUUCGUAGAUAUUCGGAGGAACACCAGUGGCGAAGGCGGCUCACUGGACCAUUACUGACGCUGAGGUGCGAAAGCGUGGGGAGCAAACAGGAUUAGAUACCCCAGUAGUC